rnacentral:lncRNA from 1 species
AAUGUGUUGUGUGUGUUCUCUUUGUGAAUUUGUGUUUCAUACUGUUGUGUCUGUGCUCCCCCCAGGUCUCCGGGGGUGGAUCCGAAACAACUGGCUGCAGAGCUACAGAAGGUGUCCCUGCAGCAGGCUCCUCCACCUACCACCGCCACGUCCUCCUCCUCCACGGUGGGGGGAGAGAAAGGACCCCARUCUGCCAUCUCAGGCGCCGCCUCGGCCACUUCUAGRGCCAUCCAGAGUCCGGGACAGCCGGGGUCGCCCUCCGUCAGCAAGAAACGCCACAGCAGCAAGUCUGCGGAACCAGUGAAGACACAAUCCCACCCUGUUACUGGAGAGAUACAGCUUCAAAUCAACUAUGACAAGCAGCUGGGGAACCUGAUUGUUCACGUGCUCCAAGCCAGGAACCUGGCCCCCCGAGACAACAACGGCUACUCCGACCCCUUCGUCAAAGUCUACCUCCUCCCGGGGAGGGGGUGAGUCUGUUGGAUACGCUACCAGUAGGGUUUACAAAAUUUACAGGUUUCUAAAUAAAAUCCUGGCAGAUUCUUUGAGUCAGGAGAGAAUAAGCGGCUUAUCCGGAAUCCUCCAAUCCGGAUUUCUGGGAAACUUGGGAAUUUUGGGAAACUAACAGAAUUCUGCAACCCUACCAAAGAAAGAAAGCUGGUCUGGAAUCAAAACUGAAUAUCACUCUUUUUAAAAUUUGAAAUGAAAGUAUAUUCAGUUUAGUUUGCAGGCAAGCAGUGAGGAGUGGUAUUCCGUUUGUAUUCUAGGCCAUAGCAGAGAGGUAGGGACAGAAACACUGGAACUAGUCAAGUCAAGGAGAGAACAAUCUCUUUGGUGAGAGAAGUUAAGUACACUUCACAGAUCACCUAUAGUAGCCUACACACUACUGCCAUUCUGUAACUCUUUCACUUCUCAUKCUUGCUCUGUUGCUGUGCUCUGUCCAUGUAUCUAUGCUCUAUAAUGUUACCAGAGCAUUUCCUUGUCAGAUGUGCAUCACUGUGAGUUAAUAAUGAACUGUGUCAUAUCGUAGUGGAAGCAUUAUCGAUAGCAGUGUUGAAUGGUUGUGUGGUAAAGUGUUACUGUAAUUGUGUUAAGUGUAUAUUAGUGGAUAUAAAACACUGGAAAGGUGAUUAGUUUAGUUUCAGGGUGUUUCACGUGUGAAAAGGCCUUAGGAAUUCAGGUCAUGUAGACA